rnacentral:rRNA from 1 species
AACGAACGCUGGCGGCAGGCUUAACACAUGCAAGUCGAACGCCCCGCAAGGGGAGUGGCAGACGGGUGAGUAACGCGUGGGAACGAGCCCUUCGCUUCGGAAUAUUCCCAGGGAACUGGGAGCAAUGCCGGAUACGCCGAAUUGGGAAAGAUUUAUCGGCGAAGGAUCGUCCCGCGUUAGAUUAGGUAGUUGGUGGGGUAAUGGCCUACCAAGCCUACGAUCUAUAGCUGGUCUGAGAGGAUGAUCAGCAACACUGGGACUGAGACACGGCCCAGACUCCUACGGGAGGCAGCAGUGGGGAAUCUUGGACAAUGGGCGCAAGCCUGAUCCAGCCAUGCCGCGUGAGUGAAGAAGGCCUUAGGGUUGUAAAACUCUUUCGCCGGUGAAGAUAAUGACGGUAGCCGGAGAAGAAGCCCCGGCUAACUUCGUGCAGCCGCCGCGGUAACAC